rnacentral:ribozyme from 1 species
UUCUGUAGCGAACACAAACUUAAGGGCAUGAUGCGAAAUGAGGCCGGGAAGUGGUGCCAGCAUCCUGGAUGCUUAACAAAAGGAUCUUUCUUUUUUGAGGGCUUCAAAAAAAACCAAUUCUGU